AGCGAACGCUGGCGGCAGGACUAACACUUGCAAGUCGAACGAAGUCUUCGGACUUAGUGGCGGACGGGUGAGUAACACGUGGGAACGUACCUUUUGGUUCGGAACAACUCAGGGAAACUUGAGCUAAUACCGGAUGAGCCCUUAGGGGGAAAGAUUUAUCGCCGAAAGAGCGGCCCGCGUUAGAUUAGCUAGUUGGUGAGGUAAAGGCUCACCAAGGCUACGAUCUAUAGCUGGUCUGAGAGGAUGAUCAGCCACACUGCGACUGAGACACGGCCCAGACUCCUACGGGAGGCAGCAGGUGGAAAUCUUGCGCAAUGGCCAAAAGCCUGACUCAGCCAUGCCGCAUGAAUGAUGAAUGUCUUAGGAUUGUAAAAUUCUUUUACCAGGGACGAUAAUUACGGUACCUGGAGAAAAAGCCCCGGCUAACUUCGUACCAGCAGCCGCCGUAAGAC
rnacentral:rRNA from 1 species